AGCUCCAAUAGCGUAUAUUAAAGUUGUUGCGGUUAAAAAGCUCGUAGUUGAAUCUGUGUCGCACACCGUCGGUUCACCGCUCGCGGUGUUUAACUGGCGUGAUGUGGGACGUCCUACCGGUGGGCUUAGCCUCGCGAGGGGCGGCCCAACUAAUAUCCCGUCGCGGUGCUCUUUACUGAGUGUCGAGUCGGGCCGGUACGUUUACUUUGAACAAAUUAGAGUGCUUAAAGCAGGCUAUCCUCGCCUGAAUACUGCGUGCAUGGAAUAAUGGAAUAGGACCUCGGUUCUAUUUUGUUGGUUUUCGGAACCCCGAGGUAAUGAUUAAUAGGGACAGAUGGGGGCAUUCGUAUUGCGACGUUAGAGGUGAAAUUCUUGGAUCGUCGCAAGACGGACAGAAGCGAAAGCAUUUGCCAAAAAUGUUUUCA
rnacentral:rRNA from 1 species